GAAACUCACUGCCGAGCCGGUAUUCGGAGCGGUGGUCAAGCUAACGCGUGAAGUUUCCCGCCUGGGGAUUACGCAUGCAAAUGUGAAACUCAAAGGAAUUGACGGGGACCCGCACAAGCGGUGGAGUAUGUGGUUUAAUUCGAUGCAACGCGAAAAACCUUACCAAGGUUUGAAAUCAUUCUAAAACUCUUUGAAAGAAGAGCCUCCUUCGGGAUAGAAUGACAGGUGGUGCAUGGCUGUCGUCAGCUCGUGUUGUGAAAUGUCAAGUUAAGUCUUGUAACGAGCGCAACCCAUGUCUUUUGUUGCUGUUUACAGUGCUUAAAAGAGACUGCCGCUCUACAGCGGAGGAAGGUGUGGAUGAUGUCAAGUCAGCAUGCCCCUUAUAUCUUGGGCUACACACGUACUACAAUGGUAGGGACAAUGAGUCGCAAACCUGCGAAGGCUAGCCAAUCUCAAAAACCCUAUCUCAGUUCGGAUUGUACUCUGCAACUCGAGUGCAUGAAGCUGGAAUCGCUAGUAAUCGCGCAUCAGCCAUGGCGCGGUGAAUACGUUCCCGGGCCUUGUACACACCGCCCGUCAAGCCAUGGAAGCUGGGGGUACCUGAAGUCGGUAACCGAAAGGAGCUGCCUAGGGUAAAACUAGUAACUAGGGCUAAGUCGUAACAAGGUAACCGUAA
rnacentral:rRNA from 1 species